rnacentral:misc_RNA from 1 species
AUUCAAAAUGGAUGUAUCCUGCAAUACACAGAAAAAUAUUGCCAUUUGUUUUAUAGUCCUGUCACUUAUCCUAUUCAUACAAGGAUUGAAAUUCAACACUGAUGCAGACAAUGUCAAAUACGUCCACGUUAUAUUUAUGAACCAUUUAGAUGUGGGAUAUGAUGGGAUCUCUCUCAAAUUGGGUUCAUCAAUAAUAUUUUGAAUAGAUAUUUUAAUGAAUAUUUCCCAAGAGCUGUUAAUUUGUCUGAGCAGUUACGUGCUGGGGAAUAUGUAGAAAAUUUUGUUUAUACAACACAUCCAUGGCUUGUCAGUUUGUAUUUGGAUUGUCCAGAACAUUUCAGACUUUCAGACAUUCCACUUUUGUGUCCAAAUCAAACUGAGAAAGAGUAUUUUGAAGCAGCCAUUAGAAGAGGGGACAUCACAUGGCACGCUGGCCCCAUGAACAUGCAGCCAGAAAACAUGAAUGAAAUUCUAUUCCAGAUGAGUUUGAAACAUGAGUUUUGAGUUAGAUAAAAAAUUGUAAUUUCCAAAGAUCCUUUCCAACUCUUAGCCAGAGAGAUGUACCUGGUCUGACCCAGGCUGUCAUUCCAAGCCUUGUACAGAGAGGAAUAGCUGCUGUUUCUGUUGGAGUCAAUCCUGGCACUAGCCCCCCAGCUGUGCCCCCGUUGUUCAGGUGGAACUUUGAAGGCAAGGAAGUAAUGGCAACUUGGCACCCAGGAGGGUAUCCACUAGGACCAGGCCCAAAUCCAGCCUCGACCCGGUGGACUCUCCACCAAAGACUGUGUUGUAAUACCAGGCUUUGAACAUGCUCUUUGUUAUGCUUUCAUUCAGGAUAACGGGGGUCCACCAAUUGAUGUAUUGAGAUUUUGAGCAACUAUGAGAUACUCAGAAAAGAGUUCCCAAACGCCAAAAUAAAAGGGUCAACAUUUGAGGAGUACUUCGCUGAAGUGAACAAGAUCAGGGAUAGCUUGCCAGUCAUUAAACAGGAAGUGGGGGACACCUGGAUACAGGGAAUAGCUUCUGAUCCAUACAAAAUGGCCAACUACAGGGCGGUCAGUGAGGCAAUCACUGAAUGUGUCAUGGCAGGGCUUUGCAAGGCUUCUGACCCUCGAAUUGUGAGUGCAUGUAGACUACUGGUGAAGUUACCCGAGCACACGUGGGGACUUCCUUCAGUGUCAGACAAUGUUAAUUGGAGCAACCCACAAUUCAAUAAGGCAAGGCUAGGUGAUCAUUAUGUAAACUGUGAAAAAGCAUGGCAAGAACAGAGGGAGUUCAUAUGGAUGGCCAUAGAUCAACUGAGAGAUAUGGAGCCACUGUAUCAGAUGAUACAACAAGCUCUGUCUAAACUGCUUCCACGGGAACCAAAUCUCCGUGAAUAUGAAAUUGUAAGUGACAUGUCCAAAACUUUUAAAUGUGAAGAUGGAAUGGCAAUAAGAUUUGGAAAAGAUGGUUCUCUACAAUCUCUGUAUGAUCCAUACAAUAAGAUGGAAUGGGCAACAGGUGCCCCUUUAGGACAGUUCCUCUAUGUGACAUACAAUGAGACAAACUUUGUGGACAUGGCUAAGCAGUAUAACUACUAUGGAGGAGCAGGGUAUAACAAGAAAAACUCCACCAAGAAUGCCCACCCAGAGUCCAGACCAUGGUUUGCAGUAGUCAGCAAAAUGUACCAGGCCAAACCAUCAGGACCAGGAACCUGUGACAUUUUGCUUAAACUGGUCAUGGCUGAACCCAAAAGUCACAGCUGGUAUGGAGCCCCUCAAUCUGUGUGGAUAAACUACAAGUCAAGGGCAAAAGGUUUUGAUGUCACUCUGCAAUGGAUGAACAAGACACCAACACGACUCCCAGAAUCCAUUAUGUAUUACUUUAGUCCUGCUCAAAAGAAGGGACUGGAAUGGAGAUUAUCCAAAGUUGGCCACCUGGUUGACCCAGGAAACGUUAUUCUAAAUGGGAGCCAAUAUGUUCACGGAGUUGAUUAUGGUGUCUACUACAUUAACAAUUUUGGACAAGGACUACAACUUCUUACUCCGGAUGUGCCACUGGUUUCCAUAGCAACAAAACAGAGACCACCAUCACCGUUUCCUGUACCAUUAAAACCCAUCUCACAAAAUGAUAUCACCGGCGUGGCUUUUAAUCUAUAUAAUAACAUAUGGGACACAAAUUAUAUUUUGUGGUAUCCAUAUCACGAUGGACUUAACUCAAGUGAUUUUAAAGCCAGAUUUCAAAUUAAAUUUUAUGUUCCAUAGAUAGUCAAUGGCUGUGAUGACAUAUUGUCUUCAAUACUCAUAUGUAUAAAACUCAAAGAGAAGACUGAAAAAAUCUUCAUCUUACAAUGUAAGUGUCAAUUCAUAAAGAAGCUCGGUGAAUGAGCUAGAUCUGAGAUUACAAUUUUGAGUAAAUUUUAUUUUUUUUAAAUCUUAAAUAUAACCUGUGAUAACUUUUGUAUAUUUAUAUAAAUUUUUGAAAAUAAAUAUAUUUUUUCCUUUC